CCUACGGGAGGCAGCAGUGGGGAAUAUUGCACAAUGGGGGAAACCCUGAUGCAGCGACGCCGCGUGAGUGAAGAAGUAUUUCGGUACGUAAAGCUCUAUCAGCAGGGAAGAAAAUUACGGUACCUGACUAAUACGCCCCGGCUAACUACGUGCCAGCAGCCGCGGUAAUACGUAGGGGGCAAGCGUUAUCCGGAUUUACUGGGUGUAAAGGGAGCGUAGACGGCAGCGCAAGUCUGGAGUGAAAUCCCAUGGCUUAACCAUGGAACUGCUUUGGAAACUGUGCAGCUAGAGUGCAGGAGAGGUAAGCGGAAUUCCUAGUGUAGCGGUGAAAUGCGUAGAUAUUAGGAGGAACACCAGUGGCGAAGGCGGCUUACUGGACUGUAACUGACGUUGAGGCUCGAAAGCGUGGGGAGCAAACAGGAUUAGAUACCCUUGUAGUC
rnacentral:rRNA from 1 species